GAUGAACGCUGGCGGCGUGCUUAACACAUGCAAGUCGAACGGAAACAUAUUGAAACCUAGUGAUAUAUGUUUUAGUGGCGGACGGGUGAGUAACGCGUGGGUAACCUGCCUUGUACUGGGGGAUAACAGUUAGAAAUAGCUGCUAAUACCGCAUAAGACCACAGUUUCGCAUGAAACAGAGGUAAAAACUCCGGUGGUACAAGAUGGACCCGCGUCUGAUUAGCUAGUUGGUGAGGUAACGGCUCACCAAGGCGACGAUCAGUAGCCGGCCUGAGAGGGUGAACGGCCACAUUGGGACUGAGACACGGCCCAA
rnacentral:rRNA from 1 species